rnacentral:rRNA from 1 species
UGGGGAAUAUUGGACAAUGGGCGCAAGCCUGAUCCAGCCAUGCCGCGUGCAGGAUGACGGUCCUAUGGAUUGUAAACUGCUUUUGUACAGGAAGAAACAGUUCUACGUGUAGAACCUUGACGGUACUGUAAGAAUAAGGAUCGGCUAACUCCGUGCCAGCAGCCGCGGUAAUACGGAGGAUCCAAGCGUUAUCCGGAAUCAUUGGGUUUAAAGGGUCCGUAGGCGGUUAGAUAAGUCAGUGGUGAAAGCCCAUCGCUCAACGGUGGAACGGCCAUUGAUACUGUCUGACUUGAAUUAUUAGGAAGUAACUAGAAUAUGUAGUGUAGCGGUGAAAUGCUUAGAGAUUACAUGGAAUACCAAUUGCGAAGGCAGGUUACUACUAAUGGAUUGACGCUGAUGGACGAAAGCGUGGGUAGCGAACAGGAUUAGAUACCCAGGUAGUCCCUGAGCGGGCUGGCAAGGCGCAU